rnacentral:rRNA from 1 species
AACGAACGCUGGCGGCAUGCCUAACACAUGCAAGUCGAACGAGACCUUCGGGUCUAGUGGCGCACGGGUGCGUAACGCGUGGGAACCUGCCCUUAGGUUCGGAAUAACUCCCCGAAAGGGGUGCUAAUACCGGAUAAUGUCUUCGGACCAAAGAUUUAUCGCCUUUGGAUGGGGCCGCGUUGGGUUCGCCAGUUGGUAGGGUAAAAGCCUACCAAGGCGACGAUCCAUAGCUGGUCUGAGAGGAUGAUCAGCCACACUGGGACUGAGACACGGCCCAGACUCCUACGGGAGGCAGCAGUGGGGAAUAUUGGACAAUGGGCGAAAGCCUGAUCCAGCAAUGCCGCGUGAGUGAUGAAGGCCUUAGGGUUGUAAAGCUCUUUUACCCGGGAGGAUAAUGACAGUACCGGGAGAAUAAGCUCCGGCUAACUCCGUG